GACAGAGGUGCCAAGCGUUAGGCGGAAUCACUGGGCUUAAAGCGUGUGUAGGCGGAAUUCUAAGUACCUUGUGAAAUCCCACGGCUCAACCGUGGAACUGCUUGGUAUACUGGUUUUCUUGAGCCACUUAGGGGCUGUCGGAACAAGCGGUGGAGCGGUGAAAUGCGUAGAUAUCCACAGGAACUCCGGUGGCGAAGGCGGCACGCUGGACCCGAUCUGACGCUGAGGCGCGAAAGCCAGGGGAGCAAACGGG
rnacentral:rRNA from 1 species